AUUGAACGCUGGCGGCAGGCCUAACACAUGCAAGUCGAACGAGUGGCGGACGGGUGAGUAAUGUCGGGGAAACUGCCUGAUGGAGGGGGAUAACUACUGGAAACGGUAGCUAAUACAGAAUACGAUCGGAUGUGACCAGAUGGGAUUCGCUAGUAGGUGGGGUAAAGGCUCACCUAGGCGACGAUCCUUAGCUGGUCUGAGAGGAUGACCAGCCACACUGGAACUGUGACACUGUCCAGACGCCUACGGGAGGCAGCAUUGGGGAAUAUUGCACAAUGGGCGCAAGCCUGAUGCAGCCAUGCCUCGUGUAUGAAGAAGGCCUUCGGGUUGUAAAGUACUUUCAGCGGGGAGGCGUUACCCGCAGAAGAAGCACCGGCUAACUCCGUGCCAGCAGCCGCGGUAAUAC
rnacentral:rRNA from 1 species